UACGGAGGGGGCUAGCGUUGUUCGGAAUUACUGGGCGUAAAGCGCACGUAGGCGGCUUUGCAAGUUAGAGGUGAAAGCCCGGGGCUCAACUCCGGAAUUGCCUUUAAAACUGCAUCGCUAGAAUUGUGGAGAGGUAAGUGGAAUUCCGAGUGUAGAGGUGAAAUUCGUAGAUAUUCGGAAGAACACCAGUGGCGAAGGCGACUCACUGGCCCGUUACUGACGCUGAGGCGCGAAAGCGUGGGGAGCAAACAGG
rnacentral:rRNA from 1 species